rnacentral:rRNA from 1 species
UACGUAGGCGGAAAAUUAAGUCAGUAGUGAAAUCCUGCAGCUUAACUGUAGAACUGUUAUUGAUACUGGUUUUCUUGAAUAUAGUUGAGGUAAGCGGAAUGUGUAAUGUAGCGGUGAAAUGCUUAGAUAUUACACAGAACACCGAUUGCGAAGGCAGCUUACUAAGCUAUGAUUGACGCUGAGGUACGAAAGCGUGGGGAGCGAACAGGAUUAGAUACCCUGGUAGUC